GAAUUCACAGGGAUCAAAAUUGAAAUAAUCCCUGAUCUUGAAACAUUGUGUUGAAAUAUGGACUAAAACAUAAAAGUAUUUCAAAUUUUAGGGAUAAUCUAAAAGAAAAUAAAGCAAAUCGAAUGCAAAUAGGAGCAAAUUACAACGCGGUACAAGUAGGAGGAACCUGCCGCAAAAUAUUCCCUUCCAGGUGCAAAGGCACAAAUUCGGGGCUCCAGGCGGGUUAACGCGCGGACCUUCAUUCCCCCUGUGCGGCGCCGUUUUACUUUUAGUGCUAAAAACCCUAUUUUCAUUCUUUUCUCUUCAAAGAAGAUGCCAAAAAAAACAGAACCCUUGCUCUGUGUGGGUUCAUUUCAUCACGCAGCCAUGAACAUCCGUCAGUUUGAUGGCCAGUGGUGCGGAUAAGGGCCAGAUCUAGCCAACAAAGGUCACCUUUCCAAAAAUCAGAGAUGGCCGUACGGAGAAGAUGACCCCGGGUGAUGUGGAGGCUGAGCGCAAGGGUCUCUCAUGUGAGACCAACCUUCUGGUGUCGUUCCAGCUUGCUCCAGAAUCUUCUGGCAUUCACCAGUGGUUGAAACAACUUUGGGUGCAUUGGGCCUCAGGUUUUGGGCUAAAUUUGGGAUAUGGGUUAAUUAGUUUUUAGGACUUAUUGUGUUAUGGGUCAUUUUGGGGUUUAAAUUGUUUUUUGUCCAAAUAUUUGUAACUGGACAUUGGACUUUUAAUUUUGGAUUUUUAUUAUUUUUGGUUUUGGUCUUGGUGUCAGCCCGGGCAAAAAUGUGCCAUUACAAAACUGAUGUUGAACUCUUUGAGAUGCCUCUAAGCCAUUUUAUCAACUUCCUCUUGAAACGUAAAUGGAAGUUGAUAGCUUUGAGAACUUAAAUGAUGGGCCAAGUACAUCGGUGGAGAUUGUUACUAAUGACUAUCGAAACCCUUUUUUUAUUUUGAAAGCAAUGAGGAUUGACUUGUGAAAACAAAAA